rnacentral:rRNA from 1 species
CCAACCCUAAACGGUGUACACUUGAUGUGGGAGGAGUUAACCCCUUCCGCGUCGAAGCUAACGCGAUAAGUGUACCGCCUGGGGAGUACGGUCGCAAGAUUAAAACUCAAAGAAAUUGACGGGGGCCCGCACAAGCGGAGGAGCAUGUGGCUUAAUUCGAUGCAACGCGAAGAACCUUACCUGGGCUUGACAUGCAGAGUUCAAGCGGUGAAAGCCGCUGGCCGCAAGGCGAUCUGCACAGGUGC